GAAUAAUCCUGGGAAACUGGGGCUAAUGCCCGAUAAUUGCCUAUGUCUGGAAUGGCUUGGCAAUCAAAGCUUCGGCGUCUAAGGAUGGGACUGCGGCCGAUCAGGCUGUUGUGAGGGUAAUGUCCUCACAAACCUAUAACCGGUAGGGGGCAUGAAAGUGUGAGCCCCGAGAUGGAUUCUGAGACAUGAAUCCAGGUCCUACGGGACGCAGCAGUUACGGAAACUCCACAAUGCGCGCAAGCGUGAUGGGGGAAUUCGGAGUGUUGAGGUUUUUAACUUCAACUUUUAGCGAGGUUAGUGCCCUCGCAGAAUAAGUGGUGGGCAAGACGGGUGCCAGCCGCCGCGGUAAUACCCGCGCCACAAGUGGUAAUCGCGAUUAUUUGGCCUAAAGAGUUCGUAGCCGGUCUAGAAAGUCUCUGGUGAAAUCUGGCAGUUGACUGUCAGGCGUGCUGGGGAAACUACUAAGACUCGGGACCGGGAAAGGACACGGGUACUUUCGGGGUAGGGGUAAAAUCCUGUAAUCCUGAAAGGACCACCAGUGGCGAAGGCGCGUGUCUAGAACGGGUUCGACGGUGAUGGACGAAAGCUAGGGGAGCAAACGGGAUUAGAUACCCCAGUAGUCCUAGCUGUAAACGAUGCAGACUUGGUGUUGCC
rnacentral:rRNA from 1 species